UACGGAGGAUGCAAGCGUUAUCCGGAAUGAUUGGGCGUAAAGCGUCCGCAGGUGGCUAUGUAAGUCUGCUGUUAAAGAGUGAGGCUCAACCUCAUAAGAGCAGUGGAAACUACAUAGCUAGAGUGCGUUCGGGGCAGAGGGAAUUCCUGGUGUAGCGGUGAAAUGCGUAGAUAUCAGGAAGAACACCGGUGGCGAAAGCGCUCUGCUAGGCCGCAACUGACACUGAUGCGCGAAAGCCAGGGGAGCAAACGGG
rnacentral:rRNA from 1 species